GGGGAACUAAUUGAACCUUCUUUUUUUUUGUUCUAAAUUCUAUAGACAUGGGUUCUGAUUCAACAUCUAGAGAUUCCAACAAUAACGAUGAUGAUUUGUCCACUUGGUGUUAUUCUCUACCAACAGGCUCACCAACAGACCUUGACGUGCUAAUGGGAAGUUACCCCAUUUCAGACAUGUUCAGAGAUGCACCAAUUACCGGAGCAUUCGAUUCAUCCAUAAGGGGUCAGUACAAUAACAAUAAUAAUACUUUUAUUGAUGGUCCAA